UGAGGAAUAUUGGUCAAUGGGCGCAAGCCUGAACCAGCCGUCCCGCGUGCAGGAAGACGGCCCUAUGGGUUGUAAACUGCUCUUCCAGGGGGAGAAUUUUUCUGUCGUGACAGGAAUUGACGGUACCCUGGGAAUAAGCAUCGGCUAACUCCGUGCCAGCAGCCGCGGUAAUACGGAGGAUGCGAGCGUUAUCCGGAUUUAUUGGGUUUAAAGGGUGCGUAGGCGGAUUGGUAAGUCAGUGGUGAAAACCUGCAGCUUAACUGUAGACUUGCCGUUGAUACUGUCAGUCUUGAGUGUGGUCAAGGUAGGCGGAAUGUGUGAUGUAGCGGUGAAAUGCUUAGAUAUUACACAGAACACCGAUUGCGAAGGCAGCUUACUGGGCCAUUACUGACGCUGAUGCACGAAAGCGUGGGGAUCGAACAG
rnacentral:rRNA from 1 species